ACCGCCCUAAGUGGGCGCUUGAAGAGGGCCGGGCGCCAGCUCUCUCCGAGCUCUGCUGAGAUUUAGUUGCCAUUGUUAAGAAUAUUAGGAGGCGGAGUCUUUAACAGGUGACUUGGGCCCAAGGGCUCUGUUCUAAUAAAAGGAUUAGCACAUUAGCUCUGGAAGGCCUUUCUACCUUUUGCUCUUUUGUAUUUCUGCCCCGUGACAGCUUCUGCUAUGGAGUACUGGCCAGCAAGAAGGAGGACUUGGCCACACACUGGCAUCUUAAUCUUAGAUUACCCACUCUCCAGGAGUUUGAGCUAAUGAAAGACAUUUUUGAGGCAGUUUGCUGUGUAAACUAGAUUGAUUGGCCUCCACCUUGAGAUUUUCCUGCCUAAGCCUCCCAAGUAUUGGGAUUACAGGUCGAAUAUUGGGACUCCAAAUGAUCAAAGAAUGAGUUGUGCUGGAAGAAACCUGGCUGUACAGACUGAUAGAUAAGAAUAUAAGGGCUUGGGAGACCGCUCAGUGAUGGCAUGCUUGCCUAGCAUUCAAGGGUCCCUAGGUCUGAGCCCUAGUGCUGAUGAGAAACAAGCAAAAGUUCCCACCUCUAAAACACUUCUGGGCCAGUGAGACAGCUCAGCAGGAGACUGACAUUCAACAAUCCAAAGGGACACAUUUCUGUAAUCAAUGGAAAAAAUGCGGAGUAAAACAAAGCUAAUUCCAGAAUACAAGCGUUGUGUGACUCCAUUCACGUGGAAGGAUUGAAGAGAGGGAGUCUACAGGGAAGGACGGAUGCUCAGUGAUGGCUGUUUGAGAUGAUGGAUGACAGGCUGGAUCAUGAGGAUCCCCUGAACACUGAUGCCAGUUUUGUGUUGCUGGGGGUGUCACAAACUGUCCUGUGGUGACUCGCUGCCUCGCCAUAGGCCUAAAGCAAUGUGGAAGACCCACGGUGGACUAAAGCCUCUAAACCCGGGAGCUCAGAUCCACACAUUCUCGUUACAAGGUGAUUAUCACUGGAACAGAGAAGAGAAUAACACUGGUGGUUUCUUCCCGCAUGACGUGAGCUUUCUACGUCAACAGGCCGGACGGGGAGAGCCUCGUGUUCCGGGAGAGCCUCGUGUUCCGGAUUUGACUGUUUUUCCUAUUGUUGCUUAUAAAGUCACUUUAUCCCCUUUCCUUCUUACGAUAUGGAAGCUUACAAAGGGCUUGAUUGGCAAGUUAAAAUAUCAGGCAAGAACUGUUCCUAGUUAUGGUGCCCAAUGCAGGGCCUGAGAUGAUCCACUUUUCAUUGGAAGAAUCAUCUGAAUGGAAGCCAAGACCAUGACCUAUGGAAUCUGUCUUACCUGGUGCUAUUCCCUUGGGUGAAUUGUUGCCUUCAGCUUAGAAGCCUUAUGAGCACCAAGUGAUAAAGACACUGACGACAAGACACACUUGUUCCCUCCCACCCAAAAUGGUGGAGAUGUCAGGGGAACACCCCUACAGUCUGCACCAACCUCAUGGGAAACCCCAUUCCUGGAUGUAGAAUCACCACAUCAGUUGAUGAAUUAUCAUCCCUCCUCAUCAAGAGGUCUCUCCUGUUUGAAUUAAAUUUUUAUUAAUUUUGAUGGUAUCCAUA